UACGUAGGGGGCUAGCGUUGUCCGGAAUCAUUGGGCGUAAAGCGCGUGUAGGCGGUUCGGUAAGUCCGCUGUGAAAGUCGGGGGCUCAACCCUCGAAUGCCGGUGGAUACUGUCGGACUAGAGUACGGAAGAGGCGAGUGGAAUUCCAGGUGUAGCGGUGAAAUGCGUAGAUAUCUGGAGGAACACCGGUGGCGAAGGCGGCAUCCUGGACCAACACUGACACUGAGGAGCGAAAGCCAGGGGAGCAAACGGG
rnacentral:rRNA from 1 species